rnacentral:rRNA from 1 species
UACGUAGGGUCCGAGCGUUGUCCGGAAUUAUUGGGCGUAAAGAGCUCGUAGGCGGUUCGUCGCGUCGGCUGUGAAAACCUGAGGCUCAACCUCAGGCCUGCAGUCGAUACGGGCGGACUUGAGUACUGCAGGGGAGACUGGAAUUCCUGGUGUAGCGGUGAAAUGCGCAGAUAUCAGGAGGAACACCGGUGGCGAAGGCGGGUCUCUGGGCAAUAACUGACGCUGAGGAGCGAAAGCGUGGGGAGCGAACAGG